rnacentral:rRNA from 1 species
GACGAACGCUGGCGGCGUGCUUAACACAUGCAAGUCGAACGGAAAGGCCUGCUUUCCCUUGUGGAUUGCGGGUACUCGAGUGGCGAACGGGUGAGUAACACGUGAGUGAUCUGCCCCCAACUUGGGUAUAAGCCUGGGAAACUGGGUCUAAUUCCCGAUAGGACUGCAGGGUGGUGCCUGUGGUGGAAAACGAUUUUCUAGUGGUUGGGGAUGAGCUCGCGGCCUAUCAGCUUGUUGGUGGGGUAAUGGCCUACCAAGGCGGCGACGGGUAGCCGGCCUGAGGGGGUGGACGGGCACAUUGGGACUGAGAUACGGCCCAGACGCCUACGGGAGGCAGCAGUGGGGAAGAAUGCACAAUGGGCGGAAGCCUGAUGCAGCGACGCCGCGUGGGGGAUGACGGGCUUCGGGUUGUAAACUCCUUUCGACCGCGAGGAAGCCACCUGGUUGGAAGGGUGGUGACGGUAGUGGUAGAAGAAGCACCGGCUAACUACGUG